CAAUCCUGUGGAAUAGAAACAGAUAACACAAAAGUUCUAUAGGAUGGGGAUAAUGAGUCAUUAGACAUAAAAUUAGAAAUGGGAUGCUUGGUAUAACCUCUGACUCCUUCUUAAGGCAAUAGGGAUAUCAAGAUCAGAAUGAUUAGAAUUAGGAUUAGAACUAGUAGUAAUAUAAGGAGACUCAUUGCAUACCUUAGGAUGUCCAGGGUCUGAAUCCGAGAAUUCUGAUUGAUCAGGAGUAUCAUGCUCAAUGGCCUCAUCCAUUCUGUUCCGACGAGUGUAGGUUCUCAAAUC
rnacentral:misc_RNA from 1 species